UGGGGAAUCUUGGACAAUGGGGGAAACCCUGAUCCAGCCAUACCGCGUGAGGGAGGACGGCUUUUGGGUUGUAAACCUCUUUUCUCAAGGAAGAAGCACUGACGGUACAUGAGGAAUCAGCAUCGGCUAACUCCGAGCCAGCAGCCGCGGUAAUACGGAGGAUGCAAGCGUUAUUCGGAAUUAUUGGGCGUAAAGCGUCCGCAGGUGGUGCCUCAAGUCUGCUGUCAAAGACCGAAGCUCAACUUCGGGCAGGCAGUGGAAACUGAAGCACUAGAGUACGGUAGGGGUAGAGGGAAUUUCCAGUGUAGCGGUGAAAUGCGUAGAGAUUGGAAAGAACACCAGUGGCGAAGGCGCUCUACUGGACCGUAACUGACACUCAGGGACGAA
rnacentral:rRNA from 1 species